AUUAAGUUAGUUUAAAACAAAACCUCAGGCUGUGGCCCUGAAAAUAAAAAUAUUUUACUUAAUA
rnacentral:tRNA from 1 species